CAGUCGCCGCGGGAAUACAGAGGGUGCGAGCGUUAAUCGGAUUUACUGGGCGUAAAGCGUGCGUAGGCGGCUUCUUAAGUCGGAUGUGAAAUCCCUGAGCUUAACUUAGGAAUUGCAUUCGAUACUGGGAAGCUAGAGUAUGGGAGAGGAUGGUAGAAUUCCAGGUGUAGCGGUGAAAUGCGUAGAGAUCUGGAGGAAUACCGAUGGCGAAGGCAGCCAUCUAGCCUAAUACUGACGCUGAGGUACGAAAGCAUGGGGAGCAAACAGGAUUAGAUACCCCUGUAGUCCCUGUCUCUUAUAC
rnacentral:rRNA from 1 species